AGAGUUUCAGCAUCAGUAAGCGGAUUAUAUUUAAAUGCAUUACCAUUAAUAAGUAUUAUUACUUCAAUUAUUCUAUUAAAUGAAUCUCUGACAUGGAGAGUAAUAAUGGGAGCGAGUUUAGUCUUAAUUGGAGUAGGAUGGGCGGAUAAGCAAAAGUUAUGUAAUCUAUUAAAAGGUAACAAGGUGGAGAAUAGAGACUGUUAAACAGUAUGAUUUAUAUAAUUGAAAUGUUAAAAAGAUACCUUAUAUAUGAGGUAUCUUUUUUAUUUAGCAAAGAUAAUAGACUAAAGUUAGUAUGGAUAUUCUUUGCUGUAUUUAUAUGUGUCGAAAUCAUUUUGAAAUAUUGUUUGGACAAGUUGUAUACAUUCAGUAUCAUAAAAGCUUUCAAAAGUUGGAUGACGUGGAAAUAAAGGAUCAGUAAUAUCGCCUUCGCUAAAAUUCCCUUUAUAAAUCAUGGCGGGAGUUUGAUGAUGCCAUGAUGUUGAGAACUCAUUUAUUGGUGCGGUUUUUAAUUCGAAACGCUUUUCUAAUUCUUUCAUUUCGUGAUCGAAGUUUUCUAAGUAUAUAUAAUUGGUCACAUAUUCUUCUUCACCAGCUAUAUAUUGUUGUGUGAAAUGUGGGUUAAUAUCACUUGCGUGAGCCCCUUUUAUAAAUAGAUAGUAUAAAAAUUGUUUAAAUGAGAUCCCUUUGGUGGAAUUUUCAUCUUGAUAUAAAAACUUUCGGAUGGGUUUCCAUUCGGGAUUUUCCAUAUAAGGAGGUCCAAUUAAGGACACGAAAGAACUGACUGCUCUCCUAUAAGGGUUACGAACAAGUUUAAAAGUUUCUUUUUGUUUUUCUCGUAACGCUACUCCUAGUCGUACACUAUAGGCAGGUGUACUUUUGUAUAUAUCAUAUUCAUAAUUAUGAAUGAAAGGACUAUAGCUUAGAGCGGUUUGUAAUAAAUCAAUCUGGUAAAAGAACCACUUAGCAAGAGAAGUACAGCCGCUUUUUUGACUCCAAAAUAGAAUGAUUGGAAACUUCCUAUGAUAGUGUGGGCUUCUUGAAUGGGAGCUUAUGAUGUGUAAUAAAGAAGGAUUGAACAAGUUCUACACUCCUUUCAGUUAUCUUAUUGAUAUGUAUGAGAAAUAAAAGGGUGGUAUGAGAGUCUUUUUCAUCUUUUUAAAAAAAAUGAAAGAUUAAUAUUGACUAUUAUUAUAUAGAGGUGUAAUAUAGAACAAGUCGCCGAUGACAUUAACGUCGAAAGCGACAAACGAAAUAAAAAACUUAGUUGACAUUAACUAACGAAGAUGUUAACAUAAGGAAGUCGCAAAUGAGCGACCAAGUAGUUCUUUGAAAACUGAACGAAACAAACAACGUGAAACGUCAAUUUUUAUUUUAGAUGCUAGACAAACUAA
rnacentral:rRNA from 1 species